GCAUAUCAAUAAGCGGAGGAAAAGAAACUAACUAGGAUUCCCUUAGUAACGGCGAGUGAACCGGGAUGAGCUCAAAUUUGAAAUCUGGCGUCUUUCAGGCGUCCGAGUUGUAAUCUAUAGAGGCGUUUUCCGCGCCGGACCGCGUCCAAGUCUCUUGGAAUAGAGUAUCAAAGAGGGUGACAAUCCCGUACUUGACGCGACAACCGGUGCUCUGUGAUACGUUCUCAAUGAGUCGAGUUGUUUGGGAAUGCAGCUCUAAAUGGGUGGUAAAUUCCAUCUAAGGCUAAAUAUUGGCGAGAGACCGAUAGCGAACAAGUACCGUGAGGGAAAGAUGAAAAGCACUUUGGAAAGAGAGUUAAACAGCACGUGAAAUUGUUAAAAGGGAAACGAUUGAAGUCAGUCGUGUGGGAAGUAUUCAGCCGUCUCUGGCGGUGUAUUUGCUUCUCACGGGUCAACAUCAGUUUGAUCCGGUAGAAAAAGGCGGGAAGAAGGUGGCACCCUCGGGUGUGUUAUAGCUUCCUGUCAUAUGUGCCGGACCAGACUGAGGAACGCAGCUUGCAGCAAUGCCGGGGUUCGCCCACGUACAAGCUUAGGAUGUUGACAUAAUGGGCUUUAACACGACCCGUCUU
rnacentral:rRNA from 1 species